AGUGAACGCUGGCGGUAGGCCUAACACAUGCAAGUCGAACGGCAGCACAGUAAGAGCUUGCUCUUACGGGUGGCGAGUGGCGGACGGGUGCGGAAUACAUCGGAAUCUACUUUUUCGUGGGGGAUAACGUAGGGAAACUUACGCUAAUACCGCAUACGACCUACGGGUGAAAGCAGGGGAUCUUCGGACCUUGCGCGAUUGAAUGAGCCGAUGUCGGAUUAGCUAGUUGGCGGGGUAAAGGCCCACCAAGGCGACGAUCCGUAGCUGGUCAGAGAGGAUGAUGAGGCACGCUGGAGCUGAGGCACGGUCCAGACGCGAACGGGAGGCAGCAGUGGGGAAUAUGGGAGAAUGGGCGCAAGCAUGAUCCAGCAAUAGCGCGUGGGUGAAGAAGGACUUCGGGUUGUAAAGCCCUUUUGUUGGGAAAGAAAAGCAGCAGUUUAAGACCCCGCUGUUCGGACGGGACCCAAAGAAUAAGCACCGGCAAACUUCGG
rnacentral:rRNA from 1 species